rnacentral:rRNA from 1 species
ACACAUGCAAGUCGAGCGGAAAAGCUCCUUCGGGGGUACUCGAGCGGCGAACGGGUGAGUAACACGUGAGUAAUCUGCCCUUGGCUUCGGGAUAGCCACCGGAAACGGUGAUUAAUACCGGAUACGACACAUCACUGCAUGGUGCGUGUGUGGAAAGUUUUUUCGGCCAGGGAUGUGCUCGCGGCCUAUCAGCUUGUUGGUGGGGUAAUGGCCUACCAAGGCUUCGACGGGUAGCCGGCCUGAGAGGGUGACCGGCCACACUGGGACUGAGACACGGCCCAGACUCCUACGGGAGGCAGCAGUGGGGAAUAUUGGACAAUGGGCGGAAGCCUGAUCCAGCAACGCCGCGUGAGGGAUGACGGCCUUCGGGUUGUAAACCUCUUUCAGCACAGACGAAGCGCAAGUGACGGUAUGUGCAGAAGAAGGACCGGCCAACUACGUGCCAGCAGCCGCGGUAAUACGUAGGGUCCGAGCGUUGUCCGGAAUUAUUGGGCGUAAAGGGCUCGUAGGCGGUUUGUCGCGUCGGGAGUGAAAACACCGGGCUUAACUCGGUGCUUGCUUCCGAUACGGGCAGACUAGAGGCAUUCAGGGGAGAACGGAAUUCCUGGUGUAGCGGUGAAAUGCGCAGAUAUCAGGAGGAACACCGGUGGCGAAGGCGGUUCUCUGGGAAUGUCCUGACGCUGAGGAGCGAAAGUGUGGG